rnacentral:rRNA from 1 species
AUUGAACGCUGGCGGCAGGCCUAACACAUGCAAGUCGAACGGUAGCACAGAGAGCUUGCUCUCGGGUGACGAGUGGCGGACGGGUGAGUAAUGUCUGGGAAACUGCCCGAUGGAGGGGGAUAACUACUGGAAACGGUAGCUAAUACCGCAUAACGUCGCAAGACCAAAGUGGGGGACCUUCGGGCCUCACACCAUCGGAUGUGCCCAGAUGGGAUUAGCUAGUAGGUGGGGUAAUGGCUCACCUAGGCGACGAUCCCUAGCUAGUCUGAGAGGAUGACCAGCCACACUGGAACUGAGACACGGUCCAGACUCCUACGGGAGGCAGCAGUGGGGAAUAUUGCACAAUGGGCGCAAGCCUGAUGCAGCCAUGCCGCGUGUAUGAAGAAGGCCCUCGGGUUGUAAAGUACUUUCAGCGGGGAGGAAGGCGGUGAAGUUAAUAACUUCACCGAUUGACGUUACCCGCAGAAGAAGCACCGGCUAACUCCGUGCCAGCAGCCGCCGUAA